GUGGGGAAUAUUGCACAAUGGGGGGAACCCUGAUGCAGCCAUGCCGCGUGAAUGAAGAAGGCCUUCGGGUUGUAAAGUUCUUUCGGUGACGAGGAAGGUUGAUAGGUUAAUAGCCUAUCAAAUUGACGUUAAUCACAGAAGAAGCACCGGCUAACUCCGUGCCAGCAGCCGCGGUAAUACGGGGGGUGCGAGCGUUAAUCGGAAUAACUGGGCGUAAAGGGCACGCAGGCGGUGACUUAAGUGAGAUGUGAAAGCCCCGAGCUUAACUUGGGAAUUGCAUUUCAUACUGGGUCGCUAGAGUACUUUAGGGAGGGGUAGAAUUCCACGUGUAGCGGUGAAAUGCGUAGAGAUGUGGAGGAAUACCGAAGGCGAAGGCAGCCCCUUGGGAAUGUACUGACGCUCAUGUGCGAAAGCGUGGGGAGCAAACAGGAUUAGAUACCCUGGUAGUCCACGCUGUAAACGAUGUCGAUUUGGGGAUUGGGCUUUGAGCUUGGUGCCCGUAGCUAACGUGAUAAAUCGACCGCCUGGGGAGUACGGCCGCAAGGUUA
rnacentral:rRNA from 1 species